rnacentral:rRNA from 1 species
UACGUAGGCAGCGAGCGUUGUUCGGAGUUAUUGGGCGUAAAGAGCGUGUAGGCGGCCAAACAGGUCCACUGUGAAAACUCGAGGCUCAACCUCGAGAGGUCGGUGGAAACCGUCUGGCUAGAGUCCGGAAGAGGAGAGUGGAAUUCCCGGUGUAGCGGUGAAAUGCGCAGAUAUCGGGAAGAACACCCGUGGCGAAGGCGGCUCUCUGGGACGGUACUGACGCUGAGACGCGAAAGCGUGGGGAGCGAACAGG